rnacentral:rRNA from 1 species
ACGGAGGGUGCAAGCGUUAAUCGGAAUUACUGGGCGUAAAGCGCGCGUAGGCGGUUUAUUAAGCCAGAUGUGAAAUCCCCGGGCUCAACCUGGGAACUGCAUUUGGAACUGGUUGACUUGAGUGCAGCAGAGGAUAGUGGAAUUUCUAGUGUAGCGGUGAAAUGCGUAGAUAUUAGAAGGAACACCAGUGGCGAAGGCGACUGUCUGGGCUGACACUGACGCUGAGGUGCGAAAGCGUGGGGAGCAAACAGG